CCUACGGGAUGCAGCAGUGGGGAAUAUUGGGCAAUGGGCGCAAGCCUGCCCGAGCAACGCCGCGUGAAGGAAGAAGGCUUUCGGGUUGUAAAGUUCUUUUGUCAGGGAAGAGUAGAAGACGGUACCUGACGAAUAAGCCACGGCCAACUACGUGCCAGCAGCCCCGGUAAUAAGUAGGUUGCAAGCGUUGUCCGGAUUUACUUGGUGUAAAGGGCGUGUAGCAGGGUUUACAAGUCAGUUGUUAAAUCCUGCGGCUUAACCGCAGAACUGCAUUUGAAACUGUUGAUCUUGAGUACUGGAGAGGCAGACGGAAUUCCUAGUGUAGCGGUGAAAUGCGUAGAUAUUAGGAGGAACACCAGUGGCGAAGGCGGUCUGCUGGACAGAAACUGACGGUGAGGCGCGAAAGCGUGGGGAGCAAACAGGAUUAGAUACCCGGGUAGUC
rnacentral:rRNA from 1 species